GUGCUCACUUCGGCAGCGCAUACACUAAAAUUGGAACCAUACAGAGAAGAUUAGCACGGCCCCUGCACAAAAUUUAUUAAGACAUUUUGUGGCUUAGCAUAUGGUC
ensembl:snRNA U6 U6 spliceosomal RNA